AGAGUUUGAUCCUGGCUCAGGACGAACGCUGGCGGCGUGCUUAAUACAUGCAAGUCGAGCGAGGUUACUGCGACAGAUCCCUUCGGGGUGAAGUUGCUUUAACCUAGCGGCGGACGGGUGAGUAACGCGUGGGUAACCUACCCUAAAGUUCGGGAUAACAGCGGGAAACCGCUGCUAAUACCGGAUGCCUUUACCGUGUGGCAUCACGAGGUAAAGAAAGGUGACGCUUUAGGAUGGGCCCGCGUCCCAUUAUCUAGUUGGUGAGGUAACAGCUCACCAAGGCGACGAUGGGUAGCCGGCCCGAGAGGGUGGACGGCCACACUGGGACUGAGACACGGCCCAGACUCCUACGGGAGGCAGCAGUAGGGAAUAUUGCGCAAUGGACGGAAGUCUGACGCAGCGACGCCGCGUGAGCGAUGAAGGCCUUCGGGUCGUAAAGCUCUGUCCUUGGGGAAGAAGGUCUUCGGACUUGGCGGUACCCAAGAAGAAAGCCCCGGCUAACUACGUGCCAGCAGCCGCGGUAAUACGUANGGGGCGAGCGUUGUCCGGAAUUACUGGGCGUAAAGGGUGCGUAGGCGGCCCUUUAAGUCANAUGUGAAAGCCCGCAGCUUAACUGCGGAAUUGCAUUUGAAACUGGGAGGCUUGAGUGUCGGAGAGGGUAGUGGAAUUCCCAGUGUANCGGUGAAAUGCGUAGAUAUUGGGAGGAACACCAGUGGCGAAAGCGACUACCUGNACGAUAACUGACGCUGAGGCACGAAAGCUAGGGGAGCAAACAGGAUUANAUACCCUGGUANUCCUAGCCGUAAACGAUGNGUA
rnacentral:rRNA from 1 species